UACGUAGGGCGCAAGCGUUAUCCGGAAUUAUUGGGCGUAAAGAGCUCGUAGGCGGUUUGUCGCGUCUGCCGUGAAAGUCCGGGGCUCAACUCCGGAUCUGCGGUGGGUACGGGCAGACUAGAGUGAUGUAGGGGAGACUGGAAUUCCUGGUGUAGCGGUGAAAUGCGCAGAUAUCAGGAGGAACACCGGUGGCGAAGGCGGCAUCCUGGACCAUGACUGACGCUGAGGAGCGAAAGCCAGGGGAGCAAACGGG
rnacentral:rRNA from 1 species